GCCGGCGACCGGCGCACGGGUGAGUAACGCGUAUGCAACUUACCUAUCAGAGGGGGAUAACCCGGCGAAAGUCGGACUAAUACCGCAUGAAGCAGGGAUCCCGCAUGGGAAUAUUUGCUAAAGAUUCAUCGCUGAUAGAUAGGCAUGCGUUCCAUUAGGCAGUUGGCGGGGUAACGGCCCACCAAACCGACGAUGGAUAGGGGUUCUGAGAGGAAGGUCCCCCACAUUGGUACUGAGACACGGACCAAACUCCUACGGGAGGCAGCAGUGAGGAAUAUUGGUCAAUGGCCGAGAGGCUGAACCAGCCAAGUCGCGUGAGGGAUGAAGGUUCUAUGGAUCGUAAACCUCUUUUAUAAGGGAAUAAAGUGCGGGACGUGUCCCGUUUUGUAUGUACCUUAUGAAUAAGGAUCGGCUAACUCCGUGCCAGCAGCCGCGGUAAUACGGAGGAUCCGAGCGUUAUCCGGAUUUAUUGGGUUUAAAGGGUGCGUAGGCGGCCUUUUAAGUCAGCGGUGAGAGUCUGUGGCUCAACCAUAGAAUUGCCGUUGAAACUGGGGGGCUUGAGUAUGUUUGAGGCAGGCGGAAUGCGUGGUGUAGCGGUGAAAUGCUUAGAUAUCACGCAGAACCCCGAUUG
rnacentral:rRNA from 1 species